rnacentral:rRNA from 1 species
GACAGAGGUGCCAAGCGUUAGGCGGAAUCACUGGGCUUAAAGCGUGUGUAGGCGGACUUGUAAGUACCUUGUGAAAUCCCACGGCUCACCCGUGGAACUGCUGGGUAUACUGCGAGUCUUGAGCCACUUAGGGGCUGUCGGAACAGGCGGUGGAGCGGUGAAAUGCGUAGACAUCGCCUGGAACGCCAAAGGUGAAAACAGACAGCUGGGAGUGUGCUGACGCUGAGACACGAAAGCCAGGGGAGCGAACGGG